CAGAUUUUACCUGUGAGUUAGGAAUUUCAUUUACAUUGAAUUUUUUGUCGUGCAAUUCGGCGUUGUCUGA
rnacentral:tRNA from 1 species